CAGUCCCCCUGCCGACAACUAUAGGGUCCCAGCCGACGACUACAGUCCCCCUGCCGACAAUUAUAGGGCCCCAGCCGACGACUACAAAGCCCCAGCCGACGACUACAGUCCCCCUGCCGACAACUAUAGGGUCCCAGCCGACGACUACAGUCCCCCUGCCGACAACUAUAGGGCCCCAGCGUCUCCCUUCGACCACCCCAUCUAUGGCCCAGCAGUGACUGCCAUCCUGCCGCACACGAUUUACCUGCCGUACGCCCCGCCCACCGGAGGAAGCCGGCGUCGUCCCUUGUACGGCCGCUACCGCCCCUUCUUCAGGCAACGCGUCCUCCUGCACUGAGGCUUGGCGUCCACUGAGGCUUGGCGUCCACUGAGGCUCUCCGUCCACUGAGGCUUGGCGGCCACUGAGGCUUGGCGUCCACUGAGGCUUGGCGUCCACUGAGGCUUGGCGUCCACUGAGGCUUGGUGUCCACUGAGGCUUGGCGUCCACUGAGGCUUGGUGUCCACUGAGUCUUGGCGUCCACUGAGGCUUGGCGUCGACUGAGGCUUGGUGUCCACUGAGUCUUGGCGUCCACUGAGGCUUUGCGGCCACUGAGGCUUGGCGUCUACUGAGGCUGGGCGUCGACUGAGUUUAUGUCUAUUAUAUAGCUGUCUGUAUCUCUGUAGAAAUUAAGCUACUCGAUUGUUACCAUUGUUUACAAUGAGCCUGCACACAAUACUCUAAUGAAAUAAGAUCCCUUAUGUUGUACACCAAAACUAAGCAUAACUUGCCUGACUAUAUUAUUUUUCUCUAUCCUAAUUUGCCCCUAAGUUAUUCAACAAAACUCUAACCCUGAAUUAACCUUACCAACUCUGUUAACUUUUUAGCAUAGUGUAACCCAGCAUAACCUAACCUUCCCUUCCUUAACCUACCAUAACUUAUCAUUUAUUGUCUACUCAGGCGCAAACUUUUCUAUAACACACAGUAGCCUAUACUAUCCUAACCCAGCAUAUCCUGUUUUAACGUAUCUCAUACCCUAGCUAAGCAUAAAGUAACCUAUCCUGUCCUAACCAACAUAUCAUAUUUUAACGUACCUCAUACUCUAGCCCAGAAUAUAGUAACCUAACCUGUCCUAACCCAACAUAUCAUAUUUUAACGUACCUCAUACUUUAGCCCAGAAUAUAGUAACCUAACCUGUCCUAACCCAACAUAUCCUAUUUUAACGUACCUCAUACUCUAGCCAAGCAUAUAGUAACCUAACCUGUCCUAGCUCAGCCAGUAGUGCAAUAACUUACCCUGUACUAACGUUGUCAUACAACAAAGUAUAUUACCCUCUUCUGUUCCAGCCUAAAAUAUAUUAAUCUCACAUAUCCGAACCUAGCUUAUAAUAUACUAAUUCACCUUGUCCUAAUCUAGCAAACAAUAUGGUAACCAAAUCUUUCCGAACCUAGCCUACAGCGUAAUAACUUGCCUAUCCAAACCUAGCCUAUAAUAUGAUAACUAACCUUCCUAAACUAGCAUAUAGAAUAGUAACUAACCCUGUCCGUACCCAGCCUACAGUGUAAUAACUUACCCUGUCAAAACCUACCCUAAAAUUUAGUAAAUCUUCUUCCUAAACUAGAAUAUAGUAUAGUAACAAAACCUGUCCGUACCUAGCCUACAGUGUAAUAACUUACUAUGUCAAAACCUACCCUAAAAUAUAGUAAAUCUUCUUCCUAAACUAGGAUAUAGUAUAGUAACAAAACCUGUCCGAACCUAGCCUACAAUGUAAUAUUUUGCCCUAUCCAAUCCUAGCCUACAAUAUGGUAAAUAACCUUCCUAAACUAGCCUACAGUGUAAUAACUUGCCUCAUCUAAACCUACCCUGCAAUAUAGUAAAUAAUCUUCCUAAGCCAGAAUAUAGUAUAGUAACUAAUCCUGUCCAAGCCUAGCCUACAAUAUAUAGUUACCUAGUAUGUCCUAACCUUACGUAGCAGCCCGGACUCCAUAGGCUGCGUACGGACAUUAACAGCUUAGGUGUUUCACUGUGAAAUCAUUGUUGAAUAAGUUGGGCUCUCGUGAUUACCAAUUUUGAAUUUCUUCAAAACACCGUUAAUCUUGUUGGGUAACAUGAAAGGAUUUUUGGGGAGGAGGGGGGAAUGAAAAAGUCACACGAAAAAAUCGAAAAAUAAAAUUUCAGAGGGGAAUUUCUGGAGUCGAUGAGCAUGUGGUUUAUGCAAAUAAUACAAAUUUUCUUAAUUUGAGCUCUGUACUCUUUGAGUUUAAGAUAUUUCCAGAGGAAAAUCUCAAUAAAAUUUUUGUAAAAUUUUUCA
rnacentral:lncRNA from 1 species